ensembl:lncRNA
AUGAAUAAAGCCAGCACAGAAAAUCAGCAGGCAUGGGCUAUAAAUAUUAACUUUGUUCCUCAUUUUGUUCUCCCAUGCUGUUCCCAUGGAGACAUAGCUCCUCCAUGUAUCUGGAAUUCAGGCUGCCCAAGGGACGUGACCGAGAGCUGCGAGAGAGGCCCAGUGGAGAGACAAGCGCUGUGUAAAGCCUCCAAGCCCUGUGCCAGCGGACUCCUUCCUCUUCCUUCUCACUCUCUUUUUCCCUUUCCCAUUUUCAUUAGAACUGGACCAUCAGCUGGAUUUUGUAAUGAGAUAUACACCCAAAAAACUACUUCUCCAUUUGCAAACAUUUUCAAGCUCCAUGGGCUUGGAAGUCUCCUCACCACAAGCUGACUGAGCAAUUCUGUGGAAAAGCUGGCUCACGCUGUUCACUGUGAAGCUCUCUCCCUCCGCCAGAUACUGCCUUCCGGCCUCCCUCUGAGCCCUAAUCCUAUUCAAGGCCACAGAAAACAGGUUUAAACAAAACACAGCCAGCAGAGACAUCCUAACCUUCAUUUUAACACUGGACAUUUUCUGAACAUAACCUAUAAUCUUUGUUAAGUACUGUAUGCCCUCGACAUGGCUCCUCUGACACUGAGACUUAUCCUCUCUGGAAAUGUAUAACAAAGGGUAGAAUGAGAAAGAGAAUAUAAAUGGACUAAGUCUGCUAUCCAAGCUUUCAACCUAAAUGAAAAUCAAUCAAGCCUCCGCAGUUACAUCAGGCAACACUGGCUAUGUUGAAUCAUGUGCUAUGUAAACAUGGAUUUUUUCAAAGACCAGAGCUGUACUAUCCAGAGGUCACAUAAUACUUUUUUUUUUUUUCUUUCUUGAGACAGAGUCUUGCUCUGUAUCCCAGCCUGGAGUGCAGUGGCAUAAUCUCAGCUCACUGUAGCCUCAACCUCUCGGGUUCAAUAUGGGUUUUGCCUCAUUGCCCAGGCUAGUCUUGAACUCCUGGCCUCAAGGGAUCCGCCCAUUUUGGCCUCCCAAAGUGCUGGGAUUACAGGUGUGAGCCACCAGGCCAGCCCUGUAAGACUUUUAAACAAAUGCAGUAGUAUAGUUAGAGUCAUUAAGAGGAUCUCAAAGUACAAAAAGCCCAUCCAGUAUGGGCUCUAAUAGUUCUCAGCAGUUCGGUAAUGUGGCUUGUUGUCAGCUGGAGUAUAUUUUGCUUUCUGAGGGUUAUUUCAAAUGAAGAAUCUGUGUCCUUUAUUCCUGCAACCAUGUCAUCAUCAUCAUACGCGCUUCCUUCUUUUCUCUCCUCUUUCUUGUACUUCUUGUCUUUCUCUUCCUCCUCCUCCUUUUCCUCAUCUACCUCAAUUUUAUUUUUUUAUUUGUUUAGAGACUUGGUCUCACUCUGUCACUCAGGCUGGAGUGCAGCGGUGUGAUCAUGGCUUCUUUGCAGCCUGGAACUCCUGGGCUUAAACGACCUCCCUGCCCCAGCCUCCCAAGUAGCUAAAGCUACAGGCACAUGCCACCAUGCCUGGCUAUCUUUUUAAUUUUUAUUUUUGUAGAGAUGGCGGGCAGUGGGGGUGGCAGUGGGAGUUGGGGUUAGGAAAGAUGUCUUUCCAUCUUGUCCAGCCUGGUCUCCCAACACCUGGGCUCAAGCUAGCCUCCUGCCUUGGCCUCCCAAAGCACUGGGAUUAUAGCUUGAGCCACUGCCCCUGGCCUUUAGAUUGCAUUAAACUCCUUUAUACCAUGUAGUUAGUACCUAUUAGUUGUAGUUUGUGGCAUUGUACCAUUUGCCCACUAUUUAUCCCUCCCUUUUUAUACCCUCUCAUAAAUUAAUACCUUGUUCAGACUUUCUGCAAGUUAAUUAAAAACAAUAGCUUACAUUACUAUAAAUGUUAAAUCUUAUUUCAGAACGCAAAAGGCUUGCUGCAUGGCAUCUAGCGCAAGUCAAAACAUUUUCAGACUUUACUACAAAAGCAAUUUUUAAAAAUCCAAAAAGAAAGUGAACCUCUUAUGGAGCGAUUAAGACACAA